rnacentral:lncRNA from 1 species
GGAAGGAGGAGGAGAAGGAGAGGAGGAGGAGAUGAGACCAAGGAGAAGAGGUGAAGGAAGAGAGGAGGACACAGAAAAGAGAAGAAAGAGGAGAGGAGGAGACGGAGAAGAGGAGGAGGAGCAGCAAAGGAGGAAGAAGAGGAAGAGGAGUAGAAGAGCAAGUGAGGAGGAGGAGGGGGGAGUAGGAGGAGAGGAGAAGGAGAGCAGGAGAAAAGUAGGAAGAAGAAGAGAGAAGAGAGAGAGGAGAGGAUGAGGAGGAGGAGGAGAGUAAGAGGAGGAAAUGAGGAAGAAAGAAGGACAGAAGGUGGAGAGGAGGAUGAGGGGAGGAGAGGAGGAAGAGGGGAGGAGAGGAGGAAGAGGGGAGGAGAGGAGGAGAAGGAAACGAGGAGGACGACGAGGCUGCACCACCCUUAUCAGGUUCCAGUUCUCGGUGCGCCCCGUUCUGCAAGACACUCUCCUGUGGUCAGCCCUGGCCUGCAGAGGAUUCCCGCGCUGGAUCUCUGAGGGAUGCUGGCGCCCUCUCUGCAGCACAUUCCUGAUGCCCUUGCUGACACAUGUGUCCUCUGGGUCCUCUCCUGAAACCUGAUCCUCCGGGGUGUCUUCUGGCCUCACCUCUUCUGUCCAGUUCCAGCAAGCUCACUUUGCUUAGCCUUUGAAUCCCUUCCUUCACUGUCUGCCGUGACAAUUCGGGCCUUUCACCGUCACUCAGGCCUGGACCAUCACUGUUGCCCAUCCCAUGCCAUCAACGGGUUUGCCCCAUCCCUUCGGCUCCCUACCAGGGCAUUCAGUUGUGUUGAGCAGCAGAGUGUCUCCAAGUCCCCACUGGUUGAGCUGCAUCCGGGUCCCAUCCCACAGGGGCCCCCCCUGGCCGCUGCAGGUGCAUGCUGAUCCUGCAGCUCCUCAAGGGUGUCAUCGCUUUCCCCCUUCCCAGACCCAGCACACCCUGCCUGCAUGGCGCUGUGCUGCACCUUCACUCUGGUCACGGGUCUGGCAGUCGGCUCACCAAUUCCUCCCGCUUCCCUGGGACUCGCCGGCUUUUAGCACUGCAAUUCACUCAGCAAACUGGGACUGUUGGUCACCCUACCUGGCAGCCAGUGAUAAGGUGAGGGCCACUCCUGGGAGGGAGGACACCUGUGGGGAAAAUUCUUGUGUUAUUUAUUUCUCCUUCAGGAUAGGGUGCCUGCAGCGCUUCAUGGGAGGGGGUGGGCUGAUGCUGCGGACUCAGAAGUUUCAAGGGCAUCUGGGGAGACCAGAUAUUCAGAGACCUUCUCCUAGAUGUGCCUGUUCCAUGUAUCAGGGACGCAGGUUUUCCCAACAGGGCUGGUGUCGUUGGCAUGACAGACCUGCCUUGGCUGAGCGUUCACCCGUCUUUGGAGUUCAGCCACCUUAGCAAGUCCUGGGUUUGUUCUUCAGACUUUGCUGCUCGCCCAUUGCCUGGAUCGGGGGCUACUUUGUAAACCACCAGGAAGACUCCAGUGUUUCUGCUUAAUUUUUAGAUGUUUGUUAAUUGCUCUUGGUCUCUCAUUAAUCCCCUGUGGGUCAUCCAGGAAACAUACUCACCACUGUCUGUUCUCUGAGUUUUCAUUUCCAGGCAUCCGCCCUGCCUGGAUCUCCUCACCUGCCAGGAACUUCCUCUCCACAAGCCGGCCAUCCCAGCAAAAGUUCUAACACCAAAGGUCUGGCAACUAGCCUGCCAUCUUGUGCCUGGAGCCGCCUGCGUGCCACCUACUCCCGAAGAUGGGAACCUUGUUGCCAGUUGGGCAGAUGCGGGGCAAUCCUGUACCAAGACCCCAUUUUACCACCUGCUUUCUCAGACCACUCUGGAACCCACUGUCUCAGAUUGUGUCCUCCAGGAAGCAGACCAUGAGAGGGAGUUGGCAGGGCCAAAGAUUUACUGGGGCUAACUAACACUCAGGAAAGGGAUAGGAAGGAAACAGGGCUGGAGAGCAGGUUGAGCCCGACCUGACAGUCUCGAGCAGCCCAACAGGGAGGUGUGGAGCAAGGGUUGCCCACUAGAGGGGCCUGCAUUGGGUACGGGUGAUGGGGUCCACAUGGUACCUGGCAUAUAGCAGGCUGUGCAAUCCAUAUUAACUGACUGGAUAAAUUAAUGCCCAGAAAAGGUGCCCUGGAGAAUGGGUGUGUGCUGAACACAAUAGGGAAGGGCCCAGCAUCUGCCUUGGCAUAGGCAGAACUGUGCUGUGCCCUGCAACAGGCCACCUGAGAGCUGCUUUGAUCUUGUGUGUGCAUUAGACGACUGCCAGGGGCAUGAAGGGGAUGUGCUUCCAGGGCAUUUGCUGGCAGGGCGUCUCGUGAUCUCUUGGUAUUGGUGUGAGCACAGCCUGGCAGGAGAGGGCAGAUCUCCGUGCAAAGUACGUCAGAAAGCAGAUGGAAGCCAGGCCCCCUCCUGAAAGAGGCUCCUUGAAGGUGGGCUGUGAUGAGAGUCAUGAUCAGUGAGUGGCUUCCAUGGCAGAAAGUUCUGUGUAGUUCUUGGGGGAUGUGAGUAUAAUUCUAACAUCUUUGUCAUCAGUGUUGACAUCUCUUGAUUGUAUCCUGUCAUUCCAUUUGAGAUCUUCCUGGUUCUGGCUGGCAUCCUCUGACAUCACUCCAGCAGAAGAAAGGGAAGGAACACGCUGCAUUACUGCGUGGUGAGUGCAGUAGUCUACCUUCGCCACAUGGCCUCCAUUGAUCCCUGAAAUGGGUGAGGGGCUUCUUGUUUCUGCUGGGCAGGAGUGGACUUUUUGGAUCUGAUCUGGGGCUGUACUCAUACCUUUGUGGCUGGGAGGGUUCGAUAUUUUUCAGCACUGUAUCCAAUAUCACCUGCACAGACACCUUAGGGGAUGGGGACUUGCUGUUGCCUGGCAGGGAUGAAAGUGCCAGCUCCCUAAUUGGCCACCUCCGACAGCACCAAGGUAGACAGGAGGGAUGUUACAGCUGAGCAAGCAUGUUACACUGAGCCCCCUAGUUGGCCUUUGCUGGCAUGUGUGGAAGUGGGGAUCAAACUAUAUUUCUGUGGCGUUAACUAGAGUAAAGCAGCUCACUGUCUAAAAGUUUUCUAUCUUGCUAAGUCACAACUUUCCUGGUCCUCUGGCUUUGGUCCUUCUUUC